rnacentral:rRNA from 1 species
AACGAACGCUGGCGGCAGGCCUAACACAUGCAAGUCGAGCGCCCGCAAGGGAGGCGGCGGACGGGUGAGUAACACGUGGGAAGUUUCCUUCAAGGUACGGAACAACUCAGGGAAACGUUGGGCGUAAUACCGUAUGAUGCAGAGAUGCCAAAGAUUCAUCGCCUUGGGAUAAGCCCGCGUCAGAUUAGGUAGUUGGUGGGGUAAUGGCCUACCAAGCCUGUGAUCUGUAGCUGGUCUGAGAGGACGAUCAGCCACAUUGGGACUGAGACACGGCCCAAACUCCUACGGGAGGCAGCAGUGGGGAAUCUUGCGCAAUGGACGAAAGUCUGACGCAGCCAUGCCGCGUGAAUGAUGAAGGUCUUAGGAUUGUAAAGUUCUUUAGCCUGUGACGAUGAUGACGGUAACAGGAGAAUAAGCCCCGGCUAACUUCGUG